UGGUCAUCACAGAUUGGUUAAAGAAAGACUGGAACAUGCAAACUGUCAAGGACUAAUGACACCUCGACCUGAAUCCGCGAUACACAAUAACACAUGAUAAUGAUAGCUAGCUGGCUAGUAGGCGCACAAUGAAACAGAUAUUUCACCGGAUGUAUAAAUGUGAAGCAUCCAGUGGGCGUUUCCAUUCGACCAAAUAUGCUGGGCAGUGGGAGAAAGAUAGAGCGAGAUGAAUUUGUCGUCAUUACGCUAAUUUUAUCAUCGAUUAAACAUUUGAUCUCAAUACAGUUAUGUUUCCAAAACUAGAAUGGGUUACGAACAGAGUGGACAAAGUGUUGUAGACUUUACCAUUUGCUAAAGUUUUAAAAACUAGCGUUGUUUAGUCGGAGUGCAUGGGCAAAUAGUUAUUACACACGUGCACUUCACAGUGUAGGCGUUCCCUCCUUGCCCGUUACAUUAGACAACGACAAGCUGUGGUCUAUCUUGGGUUAGUUAUAAAUAUCUCUGGAGCGAAUCCCGGGGAUCUCGGCCUGGUCGGGUGUUUGUUGUAGUAUAUCCCUCCUGUCUGAAGAAGAAGAAGAACUCUUCGUCCAGUUUGAGGUAAAUAGCCAUAAUGCUCUAAACUGCUUUCGUGACAAACAAACUUUGCUACCCUGUUUCCAAUCAUCCACAUAGCUGGGAGAACCUAUUCAAGUACUACACAGAAAGCUGUGACGGCCUGUAUGCUGAUGAAGAGCAGUGGUUCUCAGUCUGGUCCUGAGGACUCAGGGGUGUACAUUUUUGUUUUUUGCCUUAGCACUACAUGGCUGAUUCAAAUGAUCAACUGAUCAUCAAGCUUCAAGUGAUAUCUUGCAACUGGAGAUUCCAUCAAAAUUAUUGCCUACAGUUACCGUGUAGGGCACUGCACGGUUGGGUGACCAGGACCAUCUGAGACUGCCUCGUGGGGGAAUUCACAUGCAAUAAGAGUAUUCUUCCAUUUACUUAGCUAUGUCAACUGCAGUUAUUCAAAUCCCAUUUUCUUGCCCUUCGACUUCUACUUCUCAGGUGAGGGUGCUGUUCAGGUAGGGGUGAUGUCUGUACAAAAACAGGCACUUUUAAGAGUCACCCAUAUUGGAAAAAUAUAGAACAAUUUGACACCCUACAACCCACACCUACAUUGUAUCAAUUUAAUUGAUGUAUUGUGUUGUUCAGUAAGCAGGCUCAGGUGUAUAACUGGCUCCUUCUAAUUUCAGAGAAUAGGCAAGAGGACCAACCAUGGAGAAUGAAGAAUCCCGUGACAUCGGCUGUAUCUGUGACCCUCUCCCGCUUCUGAACUGCCUGACACAUAGAGAGCACAGCAUGAUCAGAGGAAUCUUUUGAUGUGAGAGGAUGACAACUCCCAACCCUCGGGCCAAUUGGGGGCCCAAUGCUUGGGUAGGAGACAGCGCUAGAGACACUAUUAUGUAAUUGUGAUGACCUUAGAGACUAUGGAGUUUAGUUGCACUGCAUUUCAUUCAUCAUUAUGCUGUCUUCUCUGUUCUUAUCUCUUUCCCUUUCUGUCUUUUACACUAUUUCUCAUACCUCUCUCCCCACCUCCCCUUUCUUCCUCUGUUUUUA